UACAGAGGGGGCGAGCGUUAUUCGGAAUUAUUGGGCGUAAAGGGCGCGUAGGCGGCUUUGCAAGUGACGGGUGAAAUCCCUCGGCUUAACCGAGGAGCUGCCUGUCAAACUGCAUGGCUUGAGACCGGGAGAGGUGAGUGGAAUUCCCAGUGUAGCGGUGAAAUGCGUAGAUAUUGGGAGGAACACCAGUGGCGAAGGCGGCUCACUGGACCGGUACUGACGCUGAGGCGCGAAAGCGUGGGUAGCAAACAGG
rnacentral:rRNA from 1 species